rnacentral:tRNA from 1 species
GGUCAUGGCUCAGCGAUAGAGCGCUUGCCUUGCAAGUGCAAGGCCCUGGGUUCGAGCCUCAGAACCA